GAUCCUGGCUCAGAACGAACGCUGGCGGCAGGCUUAACACAUGCAAGUUGAACGGGAUUUGUAUGGUGCUUGCACCAUGUAAUGAGAGUAGCGCACUGGUGAGUAACACGUGGGAACAUACCUUGAAGUGGGGGACAACAGUUGGAAACGACUGCUAAUACCGCAUAAUCCCUGAGGGGGAAAGAUUCAUCGCUGAUAGAUAGGCAUGCGUUCCAUUAGGCAGUUGGCGGGG
rnacentral:rRNA from 1 species